GACGAACGCUGGCGGCGUGCUUAAUACAUGCAAGUCGAACGCUGAACAGGGGAGCUUGCUCCUCCUGGAUCAGUUGCGAACGGGUAAGUAACACGUGGGUAAUCUGCCCUGAACUCGGGGAUAAGUGUUGGAAACGACAUCUAAUACCGGAUACCACGCGGUGACGCAUCCUCUCCGCUUGAAAGGAACUUCGGUUCGGGUUGAGCUCGCGGCUGAGCUGCUUGUGGGUGAGGUAACGGCUCACGAAGGCGACGACGGGUAGCCGGCCUGAGAGGGUGACCGGCCACACUGGGCCUGAGACACGGCCAAGACUCAUACGGGAGGCAGCAGUGGGAAAUAGUGCAAAAUGGGCGCAAGCCGGAUGCAGCAACGCCGCGUGAGGGACGACGGCCUUCGGGUUGUAACCCUCUUUUAGCAGGAAAGAAGAGAAAGUGACGGUACCUGAAGAAAAAGCAACGGCUAACUACGUG
rnacentral:rRNA from 1 species